AGGUGCCAAUGCUACACUUCCUUAGCUAGGAGCUAGCAAUGCUACGUGGAAUUGCAUGUCGAAAAUAUUUAAAAAGUCAACCUGCCAUCUCUCCUGCCCUGCUCGUCCAAGUUCCCACUCUAGUUCCAGUACUGGCAGGCUUCACCACUAUAUCCCAGCAGGGUCCUGCUUGGCAUGUUCUCCCAGGUAUCUUCUGAGAGGUUGUUCUCUCUCCACUUCUCAUUCAAGUCUGAAGAUGCUUACAGUCACCUGCAGUACUUCUAAAUCAGAGUUUUGAGAUGGAAGAGGUCACAGCUCCAAUGAUCUCAGCCGAAGAAGAUGAGGAAGAAGACCAGCACAAGUGCUACGACUCAGUGACCUCAUGGGAAACCGUGGGGAGAGAUAGCAUUCAAGAAGGAACAUGGGGAAGAGUAUCCAGAGUACAGAGUGGAAGCCUUUGCCCUCCUCUUUCAGCUCUCCAAGGAAUGUCUUCCUGCCCGGUGUCCUGGACAACUGCCUGUCUUUAGAAUUAACAAAUGCUCUGACUUGCAGAGUCUCUCUCAAAUCAGCUUUUGCUGGUAUCAGGAUUUCUCUGGAGGACUCAACAAAGUCCUCUCCAUGCCUGAGAUUCCUACAAUGAUUGAAAUUCCAUUGUUUCUUCCCCGUGGCAUCCAGCCCACUGUACGCUGUGGCAUUUGGACAGCUCCUGCUUCUGUUCCUACCUCCAGGUUCUUGCCUCGAGUUCCUGCUCUGCCUUCAUUUCACUAUACCUAGAAGCUGAAAUAAACUAUUUCCUCCACAA
rnacentral:lncRNA from 1 species